rnacentral:lncRNA from 1 species
AUGAAAGGUGGGCUUUCCUGCAGGCCCUUAAUCCUCCCCCGGAGCCCACCAAAAUCCUGCCCACUGCAAAUUCGCUAUAUAUGAUGCCAUAUUGGUUGCAUUAACUUGCAAAGGCUUCCUUUAUUUAGCUCUUCCCAUCACUCCUUGCACGCUCACUUUUCCCUCCCUAAAAACUUCAUGUAAGCCUCUGUGGAGGAGAGAGGGGAAAAACGACAAAAAAUAAGGCUAUUAUAGCCUUUACUUUUCAUCGAUUUUCACAACUUUUUUCAUUAAGGCCUGUGAUCCCCCCUUUGCAUUUGACCCAAAGUUUGGAAUGGCUUGGGGCAGUUUUGGGAAAAUUUCCAGUUGUCCCCCCAGGCCCUUUGUUGAUCCUGGGGUUGCCUGUGUUCCCCUCCUUGCAUUUGACCCAAAUUUUUCGAAACAUGUUUUUAUGAGUCGGAAGUGAUCGUUUUGAUUAGAGAAAUGUUUCUCAACAAUUUUCAGAAAGUUUGGUGUGAGUUGGGCCUCUUGAAUUUUUACUGUGAUCACCAUUUGUUGACCGUAGGGUUGCUUAUGAUCCCCCCUUUGCAUUUGACCCAAAGUUUUUGAAACAAGUUUUUCUAAGUCGAAGGUGAUCGUUUUGAUGAGAGAAAGAAAGUUUUGUGAGUUGGGGGAUCUAUGAAUUUUAAAAAAAUUUCCUGUGGUACUCUCAUUUUUAACCCAUCGAGUCUCAUUGUGCCCAGAUGCUCUCUGCUUUACUCUGUCUAACGCCAGAAGAUUUUACUCGUCAAGGGGAGAGCGCUGGCGCUUAAUGGUUAACUGGCCUAUCUGCCCAUGGGUGUAUAUAACCCAUUGAGUCGCAUAGAAUAGAAGAAUUAUUUAAUGUCGAAUGACACAGAGUGUGGUUGCCCAAUCACUCGAGCCAGGGGCUCAUGAUAGAAGUGCUCGAUGCGCCCGAUUGUGCCCAGAUGCGCCCUGCUUUGUUAUUUUACUCUGUCUAACGCCAGACGAUUUUACUCAUCAAGGGGAGAGUGCUGGCACUUAAUGGGUUAAACACAAAAGUGUGAAUUUUCUUUGGUUGCCUAUGAUCCCCCCUUUGCAUUUGACCCAAAGUUUUUUAAACAAGUUUUUCUAAGUCGAAGGUGAUUGUUUUGAUGAGAGAAAGAAAGUUUUGUGAGUUGGGGGAUCUUUAUGAAUUUUUAAAAAAAUUCCUGUGGUACUCCCAUUUUUAAAAACAAAAUAUGAAUUUUUCUGUUGCAUCCUUCGUCUGGUAUCAGUUAGAUAAGAUAUGUUGUCAGUUGAUAUGUGCAAAUAACUAGAUUAAUAUCUUUCAUUGUUUAGAUAUUUUGUUCCAAGAGAAUUUGGAUCAGUUAGCAGUCCUCAAUGUUGAACCGGAUUACAUGACAGGAAAAGAAAGAUUAUACCAAACAGAAUCAUCUACAGUCGCUGUCUUGAAUCAUUUAAAUAAGGUUAGUUUAUAAAACGCCUUCCAGGCAAUGUGGCAUGAAAAUUUUAAAUUCUGAAUAAUAUGUUAUCCCUUGGGGAAUUCAUCCAAUCUAAGCCAAUAAAUGCAAAGCCCUAUGUCAGUGAGCAUUUUUUAUCAGUUGAAAGUAAUUGUUUUGAUGAGAGAAAUAAAUGCUUAUCGACAAUUUUCAGAAAGUUUGGAAUAAUAGUUCCGGGCCUUUUUUAUUUAAAAAAUUCCUGUGCUCUCCCUUUGUUGAGCACAGAUUGCCACUUGCCUGUGGUUGCCCGCUUUGCAAAAUGUUCUAAAACGUGUUUUUAUCAAUUGAAAGUGAUUGUUUUGAUGAGAAAAUGUGUCUCAAUGUUUACUUUUUGUCCAUUUUGACGUAAAGCAACAAAAAAAACAACAAAAAAGCAAGACUAUUUUGAUUGACAAUUUUUCAUCGCUAGCUUUUGAAAAAAAAAGAAAGAAAUUAAAGAAAUCACUUCAACAGAAGAACAAAGUGAUUUAAAACGAAAAACUAAAAAAAAGAAAUUGAAGAAAUCACUUCAAUAGAAGAACAAAGUGAUUUAAAACGAAAAACUAAAAAAAAACAAAGAAAUUGAAGAAAUCACUUCAACAGAAGAACAAAGUGAUUUAAAACGAAAAACUAAAACAAAAAGAAAGAAAUUGAAGAAAUCACUUCAACAGAAGAACAAAGUGAUUUAAAACGAAAAACUAAAAAAAAAGAAAGAAAUUGAAGAAAUCACUUCAACAGAAGAACAAAGUGAUUUAAAACGAAAAACUAAAACAAAAAGAAAGAAAUUGAAGAAAUCACUUCAACAGAAGAACAAAGUGAUUUAAAACGAAAAACUAAAAAAAAAGAAAGAAAUUGAAGAAAUCACUUCAACGGAAGAACGAACUUUAAAACGAACAACUACAAUGCUUGAAACAGAUAAGACGACUUUUUCAUAACUGGGCAGAAAACAGCAAAUAAGUAAGGUUAUUGCCUUAAGUUUUCGUCGAUUUUAACGACUUUUUUUCGUAAAGGGACAAAAACAGCAAAAAAGCAAUUAAAAAGGACAAAUAAUAGCAAAAACCAAUUUUUACGACAUUUUUCAUUUUCCGUAAAGAGACAAAAAGGAGAAAAAAGGCAAGGCUAUACCCUUUACUUUUCGUCCAUUUUUGGCGACUUUUUUCAUUUUUCAUAAGUGGGCAAAAAACAGCAAAAAAGCAAGGCUAUAUAUAGCCUUAACUUUUCGUCCAUUUUUAGCGACUUUUUUCAUUUUUCAUCAGUGGGCAUAAAACAGCAAAAAAGUAAGGCUAUAUUUCCAUUUUUCAUAAGUGGCCAAAAAACAGCAAAAAAAGAAAAAAACAGCAAAAAAGUAAGAAACAUGAAAAACGGCAAAAAGUAAGGCUAUAUUUCCAUUUUGAAAAACAUGGACCUGAAAAACAUUUCAAACGUGAAAAACGGCGAAAAAGUAAGCCUAUAUUUCCAUUUUUCACAAGUGGUCGAAAAACAGCAAAAAAGUAACGCUAUAGCCUUCGUCCAUUUUUGGCGACUUUUUCAUUUUUCAUAAGUGGGCAAAAAACAGCAAGAAAGUAAGGCUAUACCCUUAACUUUUCGUCCAUUUUUGGCGACUUUUUUCAUUUUUCAUAAGUGGGCAAAAAACAGCAAGAAAGUAAGGCUAUACCCUUUACUUUUCGUCCAUUUUUGGCGACUUUUUUCAUUUUUCAUAAGUGGGAAAAAAACAGCAAAAAAGUAAGGCUAUACCCUUAACUUUUCGUCCAUUUUUGGCGACUUUUUUCAUUUUUCAUAAGUGGGCAAAAAACAGCA